rnacentral:lncRNA from 1 species
GGGGUGGCAGCUGAGCUGAGCUGCCCYGUUCUCAGCCGCCCCCCGCUCUGCCCUUGCAGCACUCGAGGUGCCCAACAGCAGCUUCCUCCUCGAAGGGGACAUCGUCCGGGCGGUGAGUGGGGACGCCGGGGCCACCGAGGGGGUCGGGCUGCCCCGCUCUCCUUGGGGACCUUGUAAAUUAAUAAAGAAAAAGGGUUUUUUGGUGGGGGGGGAGGCUGGUGCCUACGGAGACGGUGCUGGCAGACCCCAAAGCUGCUGCCAGGCGUCAUCGUGCCCCAAGUCCCGGGCAGGGAAACSUGUCCCCGUCGGCCAGAUCUGGCCCCGGGGCACCUCGCCAACCCGCCGCUCGCCAGGGCACCUCCAGAGCGCUCGCGUCCGCCAACGCCAAGUGGCCCAAGAGGAGAGGCGUCGUCCACAUCCCCUACGCCGUGGCCGGCCGAUAYGGUAGGUGGGAGCGGAGGUGGCUCCCGCGGGGACGUGCCGCGGCCGGGUGCCGAGCCGCCGCGUCUUCUCCCGGCAGACAACGCCAGCCUGAAGGCGCUCGAGGAAGCGUUCGGCGACUUUGCGAGGCUCACGUGCGUCCGCUUCGUCCCGCGCUCCUCCCAGAGGGACUUCGUCUCCAUCGCUCCCAUGGCUGGGUGCUUCUCCAGCGUGGGCCGCGCCGGCGGGAUG